rnacentral:lncRNA from 1 species
GAGAAAACUAAAUUAAAAUACUUGAGUAAUGUAACAUAAUACAACACCUAACUAACCUAAGCAAAUAGGUAAGGCCGUAUAGACGCAUCGACGCUACUCAAUAAGGAGAGAAACACAAAGAUAUAUGCAAAGUAACCAAGCAACAUAUGCACUGAAUGGCUGAAUCCCUUAAAAUUGCAGCUCUAACGCCAAAAAUAGUUGCUGUAAACCAGGCAUAAAUCACCUUUAAAGCUCUAUUAAAACCCAGUUUAGGUAUGAAUUAUGUUCGUAACUAAAGGAAUCCAAAAAUGUGGACCAGAUAAACACAAUCUCUGGAAUUUGAAGCACAUCUAGAUCGUUUAAGUUUACUCUUUCAAAUUCUGUGACAAUAUACAUGGAAAUACUAUUCAACUUUCUUCCUAGGUAUGAAUUGUGUACACAGACAGCAUUGUCUCACGUUUCCUUCUACCCUGCAGAGGGUAAUCAGGCUCAUAGACACAUCGACGCUAAUCCAACAAAGCAACAUAUAAAUCUGCUUCUUGGGAACUGCAACAGUAAGAUUUUUGACAGAAUAUGCAGCUACUUUUUUGAGGUUUCACGCACAGAGCAAACUUGGGAAGCAAUCAUUUUUGGAUUCUAGAUAAUUAUAGAAGCUCCAUUAAAACCACCCUUAAACUCCAUCGACAAAUAUAUUAGGCAGUUAUUAUAAUAAAUGAUUUUGUAUUAAAAAUCAGUAGAUAAUUAUAAAAGUUCAUACCAUUAUUAUCCGGGGAUAUUUAGGUCGUUUCUGGUUCUUGCUGCAUAUUUUGGUUUUUCUUGCGAGUUUCUUCUGUUCUUCCAUGUCAAAGUGCCGUCGAAACUGAUUUUGGUGUGAGAAGUUGUAGAUUAAAUUGGAAAUUUUGUGGAGUCUUUUGGAAAUAUUAGAUAACAUAUUGAUAACAGGACUAUUUCCUAAGACAAAAUAAUGUACUGUAGGCAAACCUAGAAUCAUGGAAACCUUGGAUUGAUAUAUUGCCGUUGAUAUUGGAGGUUGAUCGAAUUUUCGCAGAGAGAAAUUAAAACUGCUUGUUUGAGAAGUUGUAGCGUUAUUUGGAGAAGACAGGGUAGUUGGCGUUUUUUCUAUUGUUUUGGGCUUUUUGCACAGGCUUUUUUACGGUUAUGGGUCAGAUUUG